GACGAACGCUGGCGGCGUGCUUAACACAUGCAAGUCGAACGGAAAGGCCCUGCUUUUGUGGGUGCUCGAGUGGCGAACGGGUGAGUAACACGUGAGUAACCUGCCCUUGACUUUGGGAUAACUUCAGGAAACUGGGGCUAAUACCGGAUAGGAGCUCCUGCUGCAUGGUGGGGGUUGGAAAGUUUCGGCGGUUGGGGAUGGACUCGCGGCUUAUCAGCUUGUUGGUGGGGUAGUGGCUUACCAAGGCUUUGACGGGUAGCCGGCCUGAGAGGGUGACCGGCCAGAUUGGGACUGAGAUACGGCCCAGACUCCUACGGGAGGCAGCAGUGGGGAAUGUUGCACAAUGGGCGGAAGCCUGAUGCAGCAACGCCGCGUGCGGGAUGACGGCCUUCGGGUUGUAAACCGCUUUCGCCUGUGACGAAGCGUGAGUGACGGUAAUGGGUAAAGAAGCACCGGCUAACUACGUG
rnacentral:rRNA from 1 species